rnacentral:rRNA from 2 species
UGCAGAAUCCCGUGAAUCAUCGAGUUUUUGAACGCAAUUUGCGCCCGAGACCUCGGUCGAGGGCACGUCUGUCUGGGCGUCGCAU